AAAUGACAUAAAGCAAUUACCUUUAAAAGUUACUGGCAAUGAGACCAUUGUUUAGUAUUUCAAGCCUAGUUAUAGAGAGACCACGAAGAACUUUGAGAGACUAUGCUGCCAAGAAAGGAAUUGUUUCCCACGGAAUGUAAAUGAUGCAACUUGACAUUACUUGAUAUGAAGUGAUAGAAUAGAAUAGUGCCCACACAAAGCCAACAAACUAACCGAAAAUGAAGAGCAAAACAAAUGUAUAAAGCCAUUUAUCAGUGCAGACUAAAACCCAUUCCUUCUUAACUACGUGAUAAGCAAGAAGCUAAAUGAACGCAAACAUGUUUGCAGAAAUACUUCCUCACAAUGGCUGGGUUAAAUGUUUGUUUGGAGUAUAAGUGGUAACCCCUUCCAACUCGUCAUGAACCACGCACCCCUCCAGUGGUUACACGCAAUGAAGAAGAUGAACGCCCGUGUAAUGAGGUGCUGCGCCCCCCACAGUGCUGUGAUGGAGGAGAGAUAGAAACUCAAGACUUUUCCUUCUCCUGGUGAAUCUCCUGAAGUGUAACAGGUGAAUGCUUCAGCACCCAUUGUAAUUAUGUUCUCUCUGGCCACCCAGCUGCAAGACACAAGAAAGCUCACAAUUUUACAAGCUGCUGCAGUCCAGCUGGGGAAAUCAGUGAAGUUUUUACAGAGAUUUUGCUCACAACCGUCAGCAACGAGGGAAAGGGGGGAAUUCUGUGCUUCUCUUGCUCCACCGCCGUCAUGUGGUCUGACAUCUAUCCCACCAGCACUGCACUGGUGCUCCUGCACUAAGGUUAGAGCCGCUUCAAACUGAGUGAAGGAGCAGAGACUCAAGUCCACUGUGAACAGUAUAUUCACAUCUUGAAUUUUCUAUAGCACUGGGAAGGAUACGGCAUGUAACUUUCACAAAAUGCCUGUCAAGAAAAAGAGGAAUAAUUGCAAUGAAUAUUCACCUCGGGAAGCUGCUUCACAGAACCUAUAGCACUUACCUCUGUAUUUAUGCAGAAUUUCAGCUUGUUUAUUUCUCAGCAGUUUGAAGGAGAGGAUGCUGAGCAGAUGACUCAAGGGAGAGAAAUCCUAUAGUAAACAAAGAUGAAUUGCGGCAAGAAUGAUGUAGACUUUUUUUUUUAUUUUUAAAAACCUCCUGGUUUUGAAAAUGAGUUGCAUCUGUUAUAGGGGGCACUGAUACAACAGUUCAAAUAUUGCCCUUGUACAUCUGAAUCCUUCUUUGUUUGAUUAUUGGCUUGUUGUCUCCAAAAUAAAAUAAACACUUUUUCCGUCUUUCUUUGCUUGCCAGCACGACUUAGAAUGCCAGCUGAAGAUCAAAAUGUGAUUUUAUAGUGAAUUUUUUUGGGUGCUGAAAAUUCUGUGGAGUGUAAUUUUUAUUUAAAAUCUGUCAUCGUUGCAGAAUGAUUCCUAGUUUUUCUUGUGUGCACCCUUAUAGGGACAGAUUUCAUCAUAUUUGCCUUACCCAAGGUGAAACUACAUGGUUCCACCCGUCAGACUGGAUAUCUGGGCUGCAGCCCUCUUGUUUAUCAACUAUGUAAACCGGACAGAUAUGUUUGGCAAGCCCUUUUCUUCUAGGAGACUGACAGCAACUGAUUGAAGUGACUCAGAACAGCUUCUUCAAAACCAAGCAUUAUUUAUUCACCUAAAAGUACAUAGCAAGAAAAGCAAAAGGUAAAAACAAGCAAAGACCUGUACAUGUGGGUCUCAAAAGGAAAGACUACAGUGUAAGUUCCCCUUUGCCCAGUGGCCCCCAUUUCUGCCUGGGAGAUACAGAGUGCCUGCUUGCUGCAGUUUUGUGUGUGUGUGCGCGCACGCGGUCAUCUUCCCACCUCAGCAAUUGCAGGAAACUCACUCCACACAUUUUCCCUAGGCCAUCAUUUUAAAAAUGUUCUCAUUACCUUUUGAUCCCAGGGUUGGCUCUGAGAAGGACAAACAUCGCCAGCCUUGCUGAACUCAGGAAAGGGUUAUUUACUAAUUAACAGCUUCCCUAUUGUCUCCUUAAGGAACAUUGUUGUUGUUUGAUGUCUGUUUCAUUUCCUGUUUAUUUCCAUCAUUACAACAUUAUUUGGUUUAACUCAGUGCAGUUAGACUGUAUAAUAUCAAACAGUUAAACUGAGUUACAUAUGAUAUUUAUCAAAGAAAUAAACAGCUCCUUUAUGCUCUGCAAUAGCCAAUGCUUUGUAUCAAGAUAUCAGAUCACUAUGCAUAUGUAAGAAACUAAUGUUUUGUGCUUUCUGCAGAGAUCUACAAUGCUCAACCAAGAGACUAAAAAUGGCUCAUCCUAAUUUCUACAGUUUUGUUAACAAGAUCAUUGUGGGAAACAUUGAUUUGUCAAAUGAAAAAGGACAGAAUUAGCAAAAGGAAUGGGUGUUUCUCCAAGCUUUGAAAAUAUCACAAAUCACAGAAAGGAAUAAUUUCAACUUCAGGUUCUGAGCAGUGUCUUUUUUGCUAUUGCUUUCUGCCAUAGUUUGUGCUGUAGGGCUGUGCAGAAGUGCCCCUUUGAAGUAUUCUGGGUAUUUAUAUGUCCUCGCUUACCGUCACAUUGGUCAAAGGACAACGCCUCCGAGACCAUGGGGAAGUGUUUUCAUCUCCAUUUAGACAGAUGAGCAGGCUUAACCAACUAGUAGUUUUUCUUUUAUGCUGGCUGGCCUGGCAUUGUUUGCAAAGAUGGCAGGGGGCUGGCAGUACAACUCCACUGACUAUUUGAUUAAUUUGUGUUCAACAUUGGACAAAUUAUUCAUUUAGAAAAGAUGUGUGUCAAUAUAGGCUCUUACAGUGUUCUACUACUGCCCUCUAACCCAGCCUCCCUAUUCAAACUGAGAAUCUCAAAAUGCAUUACAAAUGAUUGGUAAAGCUUCAGAGUAACCUGUAGAGUCAUGUGAAUAAUACUCAUAUGGACAUUUGUUUUCCACAGAGAGGACUGAAAUUAAUAGCUUCCUUAUUGAUUGACGCAAAAUGCAGGACAAUGUAGCACUUUAAAGACAAACAAGAUGGUUUAUUAGAUGAUGAGCUUUC